UUCAGAAAAACUCGACCAACUUACAUUUAUCCACCUAAGAAACUGCAAUUGCAUCCAUCUUCCAGACCUUGGAAAACUCCCUUCCCUCAAGUCAUUGUACAUACAUGAAAUGCAUCGCUUGAAAGCGAUAAACCCUUAUAUGUUGGGUGUUUUCCCAAGUUUAGAAGUGCUAGAAAUCAAUGGAAUGCCUUGCUUGAAUAUGUGGACACCAAUAGAGAAAUCUAGCAUGCCUUCGCUUCGUGAGCUUACAAUCAUCGACUGCCCAAAUGUGGUCAAACUUCCAAAGUUCAACAACCUCAUAUAUCUAAAGCAUUUGAGAAUUACAC